rnacentral:lncRNA from 1 species
UAAACUCAAAGUCCCGAGAUUACAAAAAUCUGGUCCCCUCAGAAGUAGAAGGGCAACAAGUUUAGGAUCUCUUCUAAACCACUUGUAUAGCGAGUGCCUUCACAGCUUAGCCCCAAAGUGCCACUUAGGUUUCCCAAGAUUCUUUUCCAUUAAACCAUACUUGGCUCAGGCCCCUUGGUGGACAGGUGAUAUCAGAAAUCUUCAGCCACCUGAGACUCCUCUGUACGGUGGUACCAACUAAUCCUUAGAAAUCUUAAUUUAAAGAAACCAAGUCUGCUUUUCUAAGUUCACAGAGACCAGAUGAAGGUAGCCAGGAAAAAAAAGAUCAAGAUGUUACCUUUAGGUAGUGAUCCACCAGUGAUUUACAGGGGCCCAUGCUCCGUCGUGCACGUGUGGAGGCUGAACCAUUUCAAAGGGGAGAUGCACGUGUGGCAGGAGGCUGAUACAGGCGCAUCCUUACUGGUGCUUUCUCCCAUGAACACACUGGGCUUGGCUUUUGUUGUUCUUUUUCUGUUCAGAGCUCCCUCUUUUACAGUAGCAGCCCUAUACCGUGUCACCCUGCCUGUCUCCCAGUGUCCACCUGCGCUCAGAGAGGGCGUGAACUGACAUAGUGCCUGUGUUCUCCACCGUUUCUGAGGUCUCUUGCCCAUCUAAGGAGUCAGUGCCCUUACUGCUGCCCUCCAAGCCUUCAGCAGCCCCUCAUAGCUAAGGUACAUGCCCACCACCGUUCUGCCGCUUCACCUCCAACCUUGGCACAGGGCCCUGUGCCGAUGAUGUCUAAAGGGAUUGCCUAUAUUUAACUGCCUCAGUCACCUAACCUCUUUCUUCUCAUGUGCCAGAUGUUAAAGAUGGAGGGGAAGAGUACAACACAUACUCCAGCCUCAGCUGUUUAAGUGUUUUUAUUGGGGCUCACUUUUCUGGGUUGUUAUUUAUUACUAGACUGGCAAAGCCUAAACCCUUAGGUUUUUACAGGAAGUAUGCAUAUUUUUAUAAAAAAAACAGUUGUGUCUAACCCACAUUUGGCUGUGUUUGUUUCCUCAAAAAAAAAAUUUGCAGCUGUUAGAGCUCUUCUUCAUUUGUCUCUUAAAUUAAAGGCCUUGUUGGAGAGGACAGCACAGAAACAGCCUUGACUGUAAUUAUUGUACAGAUAUUUUAAUAGCAUAAAGUAAGUAUAUUCCUUUUAUUUUGAAACAAAAUGGUCAGACACUGCCUUUCAUGUGUUUGUUGCCUGUGGCACUCUUUUUAAAAAAGACUGUUACAUAUUAAAUAGUGUACAUAUAUAUAAAUAUUACCUCUUUGUGUACAGUUGUGAUAGACCAGACCGAAAAUUUUAUUUUUUGUGUGCUUUUUAUAAAAAAAAUUAAUACACUAAAGAGAAUCUUGCGGAUGUGAUUGUAAUGUACCCAUGUAACUUAUUUACUUUUGAAUGUUCUGUAUCUUAAGACCUUUUAUUAAAUAAGGUUUUAAAAAAGUC